rnacentral:rRNA from 1 species
AGAGUUUGAUCCUGGCUCAGGACGAACGCUGGCGGCGUGCCUAACACAUGCAAGUCGAGCGAUGAAACCCUUCGGGGUGGAUUAGCGGCGGACGGGUGAGUAACACGUGGGUAACCUGCCUCAAAGAGGGGGAUAGCCUCCCGAAAGGGAGAUUAAUACCGCAUAACAUUAGUUUUUCGCAUGAAGAACUAAUUAAAGGAGUAAUCCGCUUUGAGAUGGACCCGCGGCGCAUUAGGCAGUUGGUGAGGUAAAGGCUCACCAAGGCGACGAUGCGUAGCCGACCUGAGAGGGUGAUCGGCCACAUUGGAACUGAGACACGGUCCAGACUCCUACGGGAGGCAGCAGUGGGGAAUAUUGCACAAUGGGCGAAAGCCUGAUGCAGCAACGCCGCGUGAGUGAUGAAGGCCUUCGGGUUGUAAAGCUCUGUCUUUUGGGACGAUAAUGACGGUACCAAAGGAGGAAGCCACGGCUAACUACGUGCCAGCAGCCGCGGUAAUACGUAGGUGGCGAGCGUUGUCCGGAUUUACUGGGCGUAAAGGAUGCGUAGGCGGAUAUUUAAGUGAGAUGUGAAAUACCCGAGCUUAACUUGGGUGCUGCAUUUCAAACUGGAUAUCUAGAGUGCGGGAGAGGAGAAUGGAAUUCCUAGUGUAGCGGUGAAAUGCGUAGAGAUUAGGAAGAACACCAGUGGCGAAGGCGAUUCUCUGGACCGUAACUGACGCUGAGGCAUGAAAGCGUGGGUAGCAAACAGGAUUAGAUACCCUGGUAGUCCACGCCGUAAACGAUGAGUACUAGGUGUAGGA